UACAUGGGGUGCAAACGUUGCUCGGAAUCAUUGGGCGUAAAGGGCUCGUAGGCGGUCUGUCGCGUCGGGAGUGAAAACUCAGGGCUUAACCCUGAGCCUGCUUCCGAUACGGGCAGACUAGAGGUAUGCAGGGGAGAAUGGAAGUUCCUGGUGUAGCGGUGAAAUGCGCAGAUAUCAGGAGGAACACCGGUGGCGGAAGGCGGUUCUCUGGGCAUUACCUGACGCUGAGGAGCGAAAGUGUGGGGAGCGAACAGG
rnacentral:rRNA from 1 species